rnacentral:tRNA from 1 species
GCCCGGAUGGUGAAAUUGGUAGACACAAGGGACUUAAAAUCCCUCGGCCUUUGGCUGUACGGGUUCGACCCCCGUUCCGGGCACCA